AAAUAUAUGUUAAGUGGAAAAGGAUGUGGCGUUGCCCAGACAACUAGGAUGUUGGCUUAGAAGCAGCCAUCAUUUAAAGAGUGCGUAAUAGCUCACUAGUCGAGUGACACUGCGCCGAAAAUGUACCGGGGCUAAACAUAUUACCGAAGCUGUGGAUUGUCCAUAGGACAAUGGUAGGAGAGCGUUCUAAGGGCGUUGAAGCAUGAUCGCAAGGACAUGUGGAGCGCUUAGAAGUGAGAAUGCCGGUGUGAGUAGCGAAAGACGGGUGAGAAUCCCGUCCACCGAUUGACUAAGGUUUCCAGAGGAAGGCUCGUCCGCUCUGGGU
rnacentral:rRNA from 1 species